UUAACGGCACAUUUUUUGGUAUUUUUAGAGUGAAAAGUGUUUGUCUCUGGAGUUCAGCUCAUAGAUUGAUGCUUGGAGAAUGUCAAAUGGAGGUUGAAUUGUGCUCAACUAGUUUUGAUUUAGAUAUAUGAGGAUAGAAAGGAGGGAGUGUUACCCGGAUGGCGCCAUUGUCUGACAGGUUCAGUUAUAUGCGCAACUCACAAGUGCUCAAAAAGGCUGCAAGAUGCCUAGCUAGCAACUGCUCCAACCAGUUUGAAGGAAGAAAGGGUGUAUUUAUCCACAGGUUUCCUCAAGACCCAGAUGUGUACAGCGAAAGGACUGGCGCAUUCAGGUGAAGAUGGACUGGUGGCAACAUGUGUCGGAAGGGGGCAAGCUUGGUCAUGCGGCACACUUCAUGAUGAGAGCUCCUUCGAUUGCACAGACCAGUUUGGCUGUGCUAUGGUGCAGUCCCAUCAGGUCUUUCUUCCCUGCUCACCUGCAGGACCAUUUCAAUAGCUGCCAGAGCUGCGGGGGCUGAAGCAAAGGCUAGAAAAAGCUGCGACCAGGACGUUGGCCUGUUCCAAGCAGUAUCGAAACGCACACAAGAACGGGAGAAUGUCGAUCCGGACAGCACGCCCCAGGGAGCGUCACUCGUCAAAGGCGGUCUCGACGGGCAGGCCGGGCGGUGCCCAGGGAACAGCGUCACCCGUCUGUGGCUGCCCCGAUGGACAGGCCGGGCGGCACUCCGGCAGCAGUGGCAUCCGUCUGUAGCGGCCCCGACAGCAGGCCGGGCGGCACCUUGGGAGCAGUGGCACACGUUUAUGUGUGGGGUGGCCCCGACGGCAGACCGGGCAACAGAGGCAGUGUACA